UUCCCACUUCCUGCAGCCAGCGUCUCUGUCUACGCCAGCCAGCCGCGAGCCACCACAUCUCAUUCGCUCCAUUCUCCGCCGUGCCCGAACUCCUCCAGCAUGAGCUACUCCUACACCCGGCCCAUCUCCCAGCACCGCGCCGUCAGCAUUUAUGCCGGUGCCGGAGGCAAGGGGACCCGCAUGUCCAUGCCGUCCCAGCGCUACGUCCCGCUGGCCGCUUCGUCAACAUCCUUCAAGCUGAGCAGCGCGAUGGGUGGCAGCUCGGGCUCGGGCUUUGGAGGCGCUGGGGCGUCCGCGGCAGCUGGGGGCAAGGCCGGGUCUUCUAUCCUGGGCAACGAGAAGGGGGCUAUGCAAAACCUGAACGACCGCCUGGCCAACUACCUGGAGACGGUGAGGAACCUGGAACAGGCCAACAAGGAGCUGGAGAUGAAGAUCAUGGAGGCUCUGGAGAAGGGAGGGCCCGACACCAAAGACUACAGCAAGUACGAGCCCCUCAUCAAUGACCUACGCCAGCAGAUUUUUGACAGGAUAACGGACAACGCUCGUCUUGUGCUUCAGAUCGACAACGCCCGUCUCGCUGCCGAUGACUUCAAAGUAAAGUUUGAUAAUGAGAUCGGAAUCCGCCAGUCGGUGGAAGGAGACAUUGCUGGACUGAAGAAGGUCCUCGACGACACCAACAUGAGCAGGAUCAACAUUGAGAAUGAGAUUGAAGCUGUGAAGGAAGAACUUCUCUUCCUGAAGAAGAACCAUGAGAAUGAGGUGAUGGAGAUUCGCAAUCAGAUCUCCCAGUCAGGUGUGCAAGUGGACGUAGACGCUCCCAAAGGUCAGGACCUGUCGCAGAUCAUGGAGGACAUGAGGUCCAACUAUGAGAAGAUCGCAGCGAAAAACGCAGAGGACCUCAAACGGUGGCAUGAAAACCAGAUCGCAGAUGUUCAGGUGGAGGUUUCGCAAAACACAGAAGCUCUUCAGUCGGCCCAGGCUGAGAAGGGGGAUUUAUCCAGACAAAUACAGACCCUGGAAAUUGAACUUGCUUCACAACAGAGCUUAAAAGCCUCCUUGGAGGACACGCUUCGGAACACGGAGCUGCGAAACAACAUGGAAAUGGAGAAGUACAACAGCAUCCUUAUCCGGCUGGAGGAGGAGCUGACCAACUUGCGCGCAAACAUCCAGCAGCAGACGCAAGAGUACGAGGCCCUCCUCAACAUGAAGAUGAAGCUGGAGGCUGAGAUCGCCACUUACAAGAACCUCCUGGAUGGUGGUGACUUCAAGUAAGAGCAAUAAAGAGACGUAGGUGAAAAAAAGCAGCUGGAUGUAAUGAAGUGGUGGAGGCUCCAGGAUGCGCUGGAUGAACUGGAGGGAAUGAGCUAAUUAAGAACAAAGAAUCUGGGGCCAAGCCGACAAUGAAAGCAGAGCAAACCACAACUAGCAAUCAUGGAAAACGGUUUCCUGCUCAUCCACUCGCUGGGAUGCCUUCCAAAUGACUGAAGCAGUUAUGAAUAAAGGCGUUUCCUCAAACCACUACAAAAGCAACCAUUGCCCAACCUGGCAGCAACAUAAAACAUACUUACAAAAAUAAAACUACUUGCUGACAGUUGCAAAA